rnacentral:sRNA from 1 species
AAGACCUUUGCCAUUGGUGCAUCCAUUCUUGUCAAUGUCAUAUAUUUUUGCUCUGCAUCUUUAAGUUGUUGACUACAUUUUGAUGCGGCAGAUAAACUGACAGUUCUCUGCAACAGGGGUCAUAAUUGAUAUUAGGCCACUAGGGCAAAAGAGCUCAAUCACCACCAGCGCCGUGGUGGUAUAGAGGGUACGAAUCACCCAAUCCAAUCCCCCCAACAAUUGAAACAUCUGAAAUACGUAAGUGAACCCGAUUGCUGAAUUUACAGAGCAUACAGCUGAGAAACUUUUUUGGUCUUAAAUGCCAGGAUUUGAAAAUCCUUUUCUGUUUAUUUUGAUGUAGGGGUAGGGUACCAUUUACCUUUGCUCUUCUCAUGUUCUAGCAUGCCAAUUUGGAUGACAGGAUGUUGAGCAGCUAAGAAUAUUUUUAUCCCUGGGUUUCCUAAUGCGGUAAAUUGGUAUUAUCUACUCAAUUGGGACCAAAGUUCAGUUGUUCUUGUUGCCCCGCGAAAAUUGCCAUUUUAACUUGCGUGUAUAAUACUAGCUCUGUUCUUUUGCAUUACAUAUGACAUACUCAUAUAUAAUGUCAAAGCAAUGAGUAGACCCUGUCCUGCAAAUGGGAAGAUCACAUCAGAAGUGAAAAUUCCAGACAAACAUAUCAGCAAAACAAUGAUGGUACUGUACAUUGAUUCCCAGCGGAAUGCUAAUUAAUACAGAGAGAUGAGAUAUGUGAAAUAAACUUUUGAGCUUAAGUGAAUCACAAAGGCUUAAUUGUCCAUGUGGUCAGAGCUUCAGCACAACCAUCUAGUUCAUAUUUCUAUUUUCCUGGCUCACUCUCUUUGAGUAAAGCACAGCACAGGAAGGAGUUGUUUGACUUCCAUGAGCCUAGAGAGAGUUUUUAGCAAG